AUUGAACGCUGGCGGCAUGCCUAACACAUGCAAGUCGAACGGGGCGCUUCGGCGCCUAGUGGCGGACGGGUGAGUAAAGCGUAGGAAUCUGCCUUGCAGUGGGGGACAACCUGGGGAAACUCAGGCUAAUACCGCAUACGCUCGCGAGAGGAAAGCGGGGGAUCUUCGGACCUCGCGCCGCAAGAAGAGCCUACGUCCGAUUAGCUAGUUGGUAGGGUAAAAGCCUACCAAGGCGACGAUCGGUAGCUGGUCUGAGAGGAUGAUCAGCCACACUGGGACUGAGACACGGCCCAGACUCCUACGGGAGGCAGCAGUGGGGAAUAUUGGACAAUGGGCGCAAGCCUGAUCCAGCAAUGCCGCGUGGGUGAAGAAGGCCUGCGGGUUGUAAAGCCCUUUAAGUGGGGGAGGAACGGCGGGAUGCGAACAGUGUUCUGCUCUGACGUUACCCACAGAAUAAGCACCGGCUAACUCCGUGCCAGCAGCCGCGGUAA
rnacentral:rRNA from 1 species